rnacentral:lncRNA from 1 species
AUUGCUUGCAUUAGGAAAAUAGGAAGUGUUAAAAUCAUAACAGUUGCAUUAAAAAUAUCAUUGGUAAAACUUGUAGAAGAGUUGCAACCACAAGUGUUCAUUCUUUGAAGGUCUGAAGUGGUCCAAAACUAUACCAUAGAUGACCAAACUUUUCAGUCAAACAGUGAAAAUUAUACAGCGCACCCGGGUGUAUCCACCGUUGAUUUUGACCCGACGAAAAAAAAAAAAAAAAAAAAAAAAUUUAGACGGUGGAGAUGACGGGUGCGCGGAAUAGGCUCUCGUCAAACAGCUAGAACCCUUGAAAGUUAAGAUUCAAAUUCUCAAGCACUAGUGGAGCACACUGCUUCAGAUCCCACAUCAACAAGCAUCACAGCCAGUGAUUGCAACCCAUUACAAAUUUACAAUAAAGUUGUGAAAUUUAUAACAGUAAGGAAUAAAAGAUGAACAAUAAUUGCAAAAUUUAGUAUACACAAAAAACCAGAAGCAAAAACUUCAUGAAUCCAUGAAUUCCAUUGAUCUGUUCUAUCACCUUUUUAGUGAUACAAAAUUUGUACAUUGAUCUCUCUUCUCCUUCAGAACUAGCCCUACCCCUAAUUCUGAUACAUUCUACAUUGCCAACCCUUGAAAAAGAAACAGAAUUUCUCCUAAACCCAAAACCCCAAUCAGGGUUUUACCCCAGAAAACACCUAGUUUUCACUUUUCACAUUCCAAAUGUUACCCCUCACAGAAUGAGAAAAUUUACCAAAAGACCCCAUGUUAAUAAUUAAGUUAAAAAAGAAAGAUGAAAAAUCAGACCGAGUUUCUGGACCGGAGCAAGAAGACACUGAGUUCUUGACCCGGGCACUGAUCCGGGUUGAUCAGAUGAAACGACUCCGAGUCCGCGCUCCCGAUCACGUGCUCGUAAUUCGCCCUCAUGUACAUAACCGGGCCGUCCGAGUCCGACGUGCCCGACCCGAACCCGAACCCGGCGGGUAGAGCCCCGGCCCCGACGGUGGUGGACUCCAUGGUCUUGAGCAUGAGGCGGACUUUGUCGCCGGCUUUCCUCCGGGCGGCGAACCCGAGCUUGCGGCCGUUGCAGUGGAGGGACCAGACGGGGACGGAGCGGAGGGGACACGUGGCGAGAUCGGAGCGGUCGUCGCACUCGAGGGUGAUCCGGACCAACCCGAACCGCAUUUCCUUGACGAGCUGGUGGGUCAAGAUCGAGAGCUCCAGGAGGAGCGCGGGUCGGGUCGAGAGGCGGUCGUGCUGGACGCAGAACCACACGUGGCCUCGGCGGUGCCCGAAGAUGGUCCCGAUCACCAUCGACUUCGACGGCCUGGGCUGCGCGACGGAGGAGGUCACCGACGCGGCGGAGGGGGAGGAAGGGUCGGAGUCUUGGGCGGCGGCUGCGGAGGAGGAGUCAAGGUCGGCGUCGGGGAUGUCGUCGCGGAGGGAGGUGCUGAGGCGUUUCUUGGUGGGGGUGGCGGCGGAGGAGGAGGUGGCGGAGGGGGCGAAGCAGGGGAGGAGGAAUCGACGGAGGGCAUCGAUCUUGGUCAUCUUUCUUGUUUUUCUUGGUUUUUUUCUUUUCUGGGUUUGAAGGGAAUUGAAUUGGGUUGGUUUCUUGGGAUUUGAAAAAGGGGUUUAGGGUUUAAGAGGGAAGAAGAAGACUAGAGAGAGAGGGAGGGGUGUGGGUUGGGUACGAUCUGAGAGGGGUUUUAUAUAUAAACAGAGAUCAGAGCGCGGGAAAAAGUGAGAGACAGCCGUUGCAGUUAGUUUUUCUUCUUUUUGGCAGAGAACACCUCGCCAAAUUGCGACACGUGUGGUGCAGUCUACCAAAAUUGUCCUAUCACUAUGUGAUAUUGUGAUACAUCUCUGUUGGUUUUUGUUUGUUACCUUCUUGGUACAUCUAGUGAUCUAGUCACAUUGGUGUUUAUCCGUAUAGUUUCACAAAAAAGCAUGAUCUUAAUAGGCGAUUAGUGUGUUAGCAAGUAUGAUCAAGUAACGGUGUUUUGUUUUAUGGACAAUACAUUGACACCAGAUAUUUCCUGUUUUGUUAUUCUAUAUUUUAUGAUUCAAUAUUUUGGCAAAUAUAUAAAUCUUUUGCCGACCGUUAUUAUUCAAUUACUCUCAAACUCGAUCAAAUUAUAAAGAGUGAGAGGAGACGACAACUCGUUUAGUUAUGGAUCAGAGGUCCGACAUCCUAAUUUAGAAGUGCAACACCACUAAUCGCCCGUGCUAGCUAACUUUGUCAUCAUACCCAUCGCCCGUGCUAGCUAACUUUGUCAUCAUACUUUGCCUUCAACAGCCGUGAGGUUAAGAAAAAUACUAAUCAGAACGUUGAUACCUAAACCAACUAAAUCUCAAAGCAUAAUUAUAUGAAAACCCAUAACCCGUAUGAAGAACUCCCUCAAAACAACAUCAUACAAUCAAACAUUAAUACACAAGCCAUGAAUGAGCUGGGGAGGAUUGAAAAUCAGACCAAAGAACCAAAACCAUAUUAAAUGGAGGGUGAUGAAGCCACGUGUGAGUACCCAUAAUUGAAUAGGUAAGUGUGAAAUUGCACUUUAAGUGUGCAAUCGAACAAGCUCUGAUGAAUGUGUACAAUGGUAGUUGAUGAGUUAUUUUGGUGUUGGCUGACUAAUAAUCUGAAAACGUUGGGAUUUUUUAACAACCAUGUGAGAAACCGUCUUCUCCGGAACUGGAGGUAGCUAGUAUUAUCCACGAGGGGAUGAAAAUACACCACAAGGGUGGCAUGGACCCAUAAACAUGGAGUCUGGGAUAACUUGAAACAUAACUAAAUAAAGCAGAUGAGAUAGAGAAAACCCUUCUAAUGAAGACCCUUAAAUUGAGGAUUUGAUGAAGAUUUUUCGGCUUAUCCCACCUUUCGAUCUUAUAUCUACAUCUUGACCGUUCAGUUUAUAAGUAUUUAUGAGUAGAUCAUUUCUUCAAAUUUUCAGCUAUAUUGAAAAUUGUUAAGACAUUCAUAAGCGUGAUUUAUCAAUUAUGAACUUGAACGGUUCAUAUUUGACAGAUAUGGUUCGUCCAUUAAUUUGAUCUAGUUUGUUAUCUUAACGAACACCAAUUUGGGUGAAAAUUUGUAGAAAUGAUCUACUCAUAUAAACCUAAAAACUGAACGGAUAAGAUGUCAAAAUGUAAUCGAAAAUUAGGUCUUUAAUUUAAACCAUAAACGAAAAGUCCUCACCAAGUCCUCAACUUAAAGAUCCUCACUAGAAGGGCUCCCAUGAGAUAAAUACCUCAUGUGGGGUCAUAAUCAAGUCUCGGGCCUGUUGCCCGAAUAACCACUAACUUCGGCCCGUACAUCUCCGUUCUAUAUAUCCGUCUGCACUACCUCUGAUGCAACAAUCUUCCAACACUAAGAGGGACAAGUACCAGAUCUACUUGAUUCCAUCUUCGAGCCACAUCAUGUACAAUGUACCGCACACCUUGUUGGUCGGCUUGCCUCGACUGGCCUUAAUGUUGUGGCACAGCCAAACGAGAGCAAGAGACCACCACAAACUUUAGAUUUCGCGUGUAAGGCACGUUCCCUUGGAAAAGAAAAAGAGUUGUUUUUUUUUUUUACUUGGAAAAACAAUUUGAUGUAUGUCAUAUAACGUAACAUAGUUUAUGACAUGGAAUAUUGAACAUCAACACGUCAAAUGCACUGUAGAAUUCUAGAUAAAAUCUGGUGUUCUAGAAAACUUAAUCCAGUUUACAACGAUCAAAAUUGAGGGUGCAGUUUCUAUUCGAAGAUUAGAAAAAAAAAAAAAUACCUAUACUUGAGGGGGAUAGUGUAAAUAACCCUUAUUCUAACGUUCCUCUUUUGAUUGCUCUCGGCAUUGGUUUGCAGAAUCGAUGAGAACACCAGCCACCCCAUUUUGAGUGUUUCACUGUUUUUCUUCAUCACAAGUAGAUGGGAUUCUAGAACCGUCAUGACCAUCGACAUCGGACAGAAAAUGGCGUGCAAUGAAUUCGAAAAACAACAAGUUCAAGAUCCCAAGAGCAGCAAUGAUGUAAUAGUAGUAAUCAAGCCUGUUCUUGUUCAGGUCAUUACCACCCAGCCAUGAUGUAUUGCCAUUCAAACUAGUCACUUUCUUGACAAUGGUAACAAUAAUGGAGGUGCCGUAGCUUGCAAUGGAUAAGCUGAGAAAGAAGGCCGCUCCGGCAAAAGUCCUCAUGCUCUUUGGCCAUUGUGUUGUAAGCAACUCCAAUAAGGCAAUGGCUGCAAAUGCCUCGAUCAAACCUGCCAAGGCAAACUGUGGCACAAGCAAUGCAACAGUUAUAGGUGACUGGAAAGAUCUGUUUUCCAAAGCAGACUUUCUGCGCUUCAUUUCGGUGAGUCCAGCCACCACCAUGCACAGAAUUGACAUCACAAUCCCAACCCUGAAUCUUGUCUCCAUUGUCAAUCUUCCGGUCUCAUCGUUUUUCCUUUUCUUAAUCCAGGGAAUGUACAUGCUUUCGUAGAUGAUGAUCCAUAUCGAAAGUGCAAUCAUCGGUACGAGACCAAUCCAGGCUGGUGGCAUCUCGAAAUUGUUUCCAAUCUUUCUGUUUGUUUGGAUCGCUUGAAAGGUCCCAAAUGAUGGCAUUUGCUGCAUUCCUAUGAAAGCACCAAUUCCACUUACCCAAACAGGGAACAAAGAUAUGACGCAUUUGAGUUGCUCAACUUGUUGCACACUGCAGAGUCUCCAACCAGUUCUAGGGUUGCCACUGCUAUCCAAUUCAUCUGGAUCUACAAUUAGAGCAGCCUUAUCAAGAAACUUGAACCUCUCUGUGUGAGCAAGCAUUUGCUCCGACUCUUGUCCAAUUAAAGGAGCAUCAUAAAGGGACUGCCCUGAAGUCCUUGUACUAAACUUACGAAAAGAAGCUACAAUUACCUUCAUUAUGUCCCCAAAGGUGCUUCCUUGAGGCUUAACACGAACGUACAAUUUUCGGCCAAGCAAGAAUAUCAGUAUGGACAAGGCAAAGCAUCCAGCUGGUAUAGCAAAACCCAGAACCCAGCUGAUAUUAGUUUGUAUGUAGACCACUCCGGUCAGAGCUACGAUGAGAGCAAGGGUGAACAAAAAGUACCACCAAUUGCAAAAGCUAUCUAGCUGCGCUCUUCCCUUCUCCGUUGUGGUGUCAAAUUGAUCAGCUCCAAAGGCAAUGUUGCAUGGUCUGAGGCCUCCAGAUCCAAUAACGAGCAAUCCCAGACCAGAAUAGAGGACCAACUUCUGCCAUGCGUUGGGUUGUUCGCAAUGCGCUUGUCCAUUGCAGGCAGGAGGAGUUAGUUCAUGUAAACUUGCAGUUAAUGUCAAGGCCACCAUACCCUGUCAGAUUGAAAGAAGAAGUGUUCAUAGAAUCCUUUAGUUAAUGUUACGAAUUUGGACCCUGAAUCAUAAUGAAGAGUAGACUCUUACCAUGAGGGAUGCUAUAGAGCUAUAUAGAAGAGUGGAGAACUUCCCCAAGUGACUAUCAGCAAGGUAAGCACCAAUUAGAGGUGCAACGUUGCAUGAACCAGACCAGAUAUUGUAUACAUUAGCUGAAUCUACAUUUUCCAAGUUAUACUUGGUAUGCAGAUACAGCACCAGAUUUGCCACCAAACUCAUGGAAGCCAACUUCUCAAACGUCUCAUUCCCUUCAGAGUUCAAACACACGAGACUAAAUUUCUUAGCAAACAUGAAUGCAAGAGCAGGGGUUCAAUGACUUCAAUUCCCCAUAUAUAAAAUCAUACAGAAAACAAAACGAAAACAUGAACAAAAUUGCAAGACAUUCCAUGAAUAAGACUCACCAAGGAUGUAUCUGACGGCUUUCCAUCCUCCGAGCGGUCGGGGAGGAGGGGAUGAAGAAUGCAAUGUCGCAUGCUCCAAAUCUUUCUCUCCUAUACUACUACAACCUUCUUCCAUCUCUCUUUAAAAUUUCUCCGAGUUUGUUGAACUGGGAACUUGAGCUUUUCCCUAUAUUUGCGCAACUUUCAGAACUUAUUAUAACCGUUUGCUCUUCAAUUCAGGCAAAACGCAUGUAGGAGAGAGAGAGAUUAUAGAAGGAUUCUAAGCUAUUUAUUAAGUCUUUAACAAAUUUCAGUUCCCAAAUUCAGGAGAGUUAACCUGAACUACUGAAGAUCACACGUACCAAAUGAAACUCUUGUUAUCCUUCAACUCCAAAGUGAGCGUUUUCUGGACUGAUUGCCAACCAAGAAGUUUAAACAAGCCACUCAAACAAACUCUUCGACAUGCAAUGGAAUGUAAAGGAGAAGCACGUUUAGCACAUCACUGCAUCAGAGAAACGUCUCUUCUGAACCAGAGUGAUGGUUUGAAUGACCACAAAAGAACCUCACUAGCAACAGGUGCCAAUUUGUACCAUUCACAUUUGCACAGGACAAAUCCAUGGAACCAAUGUUUCGUCCUCUGCAUAAUCCAUAAAUGCAGCCAUUCUAAUAGGAAUGUAAUGGCAGACUUUCUGCUGAAAAUUUUCCAGAAUACACAAAAGCAUUGAAACAAAUCUUAUCCUCCGAGGGGAACAAGUUUGGGAGGGACUGAAAUCCUAAUUCAGGAUUCUGUGCUUAAUGAUACAAGGCACCAUCUAGACAUUGAAUGAACGACGUGUCACUCAGAUAUCCUCUCCCAUUAAAACUCAUCUAGUUAUUGCACCCCACUCCAUCUAGCCCAGUCUACGAACUGCAUUCCACCAUACACGUUGUUGGCAAAUCGUACACCAACAGUGAAAGCCAAUGCCACAGGUGGGAUCUGCUUUGCCAAAGGCGAUGUCUCUACCAAGCGUUCAAGUCCAUUGAUUAUCUGAUAGCGGGUGUUUGAAGAGACGGCAAGGAAAACACCUGAUAGUUUGGGGACAAAAGCAAGACCAAUUAUUGAACUUGUAUAUAUUCAUGACAACUCAAAAUAGAACACAUGUUAACCAGAACCAUGUGAUACUGAAAAAAGAUGAGGAGUAAUUAAGUAAUGCAUACCCCAAAGAGCUGCACUCUUGAUUAGAGGUGGCACUGGUAUGUCUUCUUCUGAUUUCUUAAUGCUCCUGACAUUUAGAAAAUGACUUGGUCAGGAACGAUACAAAUGUAGAAAGCUACUGAGAUUGCUAUCAGUAUGUCUACCACAACAGAAUCACACUUAGCAUGUUUUCAUAGAAGCAUACCGCUUAGCAGUCAUAAUUAAGUUUGCAAUUCCUUGGCCAAUAAUACCACAUCCGAAACCAACUGCCCCAUAUAAGAUCCCCUGAAUAACAGGAAGAUUGGAUCAACAAUUUGGAUGAACCAAGACACACAAGAUCAUAUUUUGAAGACACGUGUAAAUCUUACCUUGAAAAAAUAAGUUGCAAUUCUCUGUUUUACAGAAUAUCCAAAUCCUGAUCUUUCAGCUUCAAACACACUGCAUAAGAUGCCCACUUUAGAAAUUGAAAAAAUAACAAUAUUUUCUAAAGCUGGAAACCAAAUGCGACCAACAAUUCCGAAUGGACAAGAAAGAAAUUAUGAGAUCACUAAUAUGAAGGUUAAUGAUUGUUUGUAUGUGAGCUAUUGACCUGCUAGGAAGAGCUCCAUAAGCAUGUUGCAUGCGUCCAAGGAACCCUUUUGAUAGGGAUGGUUGCCCAAUACGAGCAUAGGGUGCCAACAUUCCAACCAAAGCAACAUUAACCACUACCCCAACCAAAAGGUCUGCAACGUACAACUCAAAUUCGGCCCAAAAAUCUUUUCCCCUCUUUUGAACUUCAGCAAAUGUAGCGCAACAAGAAUCAAUGACUAUCUGUAUGCAGCAUUUAGUGAAUGAUGAUUACUAUAUUAUACUGGAACAUGUGGCAAUCGCUAUACAGUGUUUAUAGAGACUUAAAACACAUAGGAAUCUAUGAUUAACACACAGAACUGGAGAUUCAAAAUACCACAUAAGCGUUCACUAUGCAUCUGACCACAUCUGGGAUAGCUUAUCAUAGGGAUUAAGAGAGCAAGACAUGCAUGUGGAGCGGACGUAGCUUAUAAUUCUUGGGGAUCUAAGACAAAACUAAUCACCUAUUAGACUUGAUUAUACUUUUCCCUUUAAUCAUAGAUACUAAAUACAUUUCUCUUUCCAUAACUAAAUAUAAAACCAUCUUAUGUCCACCAUGCCACCAUGUAACUGGAAUUGGAUUUAUGAAUUUUGUAUUACAUUAAUAGGAUUAACCUACACGAAUGAUGUAUAAGUAUACAAAUAAUCAAAACAAACCUCUGUUCCAAUUUUGAAAAGAAAAGAUGGGUCAGCUAGCAUACGAUCUCGAAGCAUAGAGCAUGACUUCAUUGCAAAGCCAAGAGGCCAGGCUGACCCCUGCAAUUAAACAGUAAACCAAAUGAGGAGAAAUAAACACGAAUUCACAAGACAUUCAUACAGGAUUUAGGAAAAGAAACGUAGCAUAAAUAUACCUGCAAAUCCAGAUAUCUAAGGAGAAGCACUUUGCGAAUUCCCACAUUCUUGGCAGCCUCUAACAUAUCAAGGGGAAGACUAGCCCCUCGAGCCUCAGUCUCUUUCAUAACUUCUUCAAAUUUCAGAAUUGGCCCAAACUCUUCUUCAUCUCCGUCUUCCCCAUCAUCAUUACCACCGCCACCACCUCCUCCGCCUCCUCCAUCUCCUCCUCUUCCAUUAGGAUGCUUCCCAUUACCACCACUACCAUCAAGCACAACCCCAUUACCAUCAUAAUCAGGCUUUGAACCGCCCUCAUUCUCCAAAAUCCUAGCAUCCUUCCCUAGAGCAGUACCACCUCCCUCAUUCGAAACUGUGACUGCACCCAAGCUGAAUUGCCUUCCACCCCGAGGCUCUAACAUACUCAUGACCAAAUUAUUCCACUCUUUCUUCACCGAAAUCAAAUUCAGCCCAUUUCUAAAGCUUCUAUUCCCACAAAAGGUCGGUAAAGCUACCUCCUUUGCCAUACUCCUAAACCUAACACUAUCUAAACCCAAAUUCUGACUACAAAUCUUCCUCAAAACCACCUCGUUCCGCCUGGAAACAACAGUCGAUACUCCAAAACUUGAAGAACAACCAGACAUUUUUCUUUCAAGAUCUUAAAAACUUCUCAAGUAAAUAAUACAAGCUCGGAAUUUUCGACGAAUUAGGUGAUUGCCACCGACCCUUAUCAACCUAUGCAAUCAAAAACAAACAAAUCCACAUUCAUGCUUCUACUCAACCAAACUAACUACAAGUCUACAACCACAAACUAGUCAUACAUAUGCAGAAAGGCCAGAAACAUAGAAUUAGUCAAACACACACCAAAGACAAAACACAAAAACAGCUUUCAAUUGCAGAACACAUCAAAAGGAUGAUCUGACAGCACAGAAUGGAAAUUACUAAAGACCCUUGUGAAGUUCAUACCUUCGCAAACAAAGCUUGGUUGAGUGGGAAAUGAGGGAAAGUGUGAAGCUUUGUUGGGUUGGAGAUGAAGAUUGAGGUAAAGAAUGAGGCUUUCAAGUUUCAAAUACUGAAGAUUCACAAAGUUGAAAUGAGUGCUGAAUAAUUUGGAGGGUAGUGAGUCAAGGAGUGAGGGAGGCGGAGACGCGAAAAAGGGACGUUUGAGAUUUUUUGGGUCCUUUUUUCCUCUUUCUUUUCUUUCAGUUGGUGGAGGCUGGUUCAGUUAAUACUCUGGGUUUUUGCCACGUGCGGAAUUUACAGUUUGUGAAAUGUGUGAUUUGGGGGAUUAGGGUUUUGCUUUUUCUACCGUUUGUGAAUUCCACACACCUCAAAUUGAAAUUCAUAUACCUUUUUUGUUUUUUAUGGAUUUCAAUUUGGGGUGUGUAAAAUUUAUUUUAGGGUAUGAAAUGAGAGCCCUCUGUAAUCUAUGGCAAAAAUUAAUAUGACAUUUGUGGCAUAAUAAAACGUGUUAUACUUGCCUUGUGGUAUCAAGUGUCAUUUUGGGGUAUCAAAUUAAUAUGUUGAUACCUCCUUGUGGCAUAAUAUUCGAUUGUGUGGUCGGAUUAAUAUUUGAUUGUCAGCAUAAUAGAAAAACUAAUUUAAUAGUUUUAUGACAUUGCUUUAUCUUUUCCAUAUACUAUCAUUAUUGUGAAGCAAAUUUAUCUAUUACUAAAGCUUGGUCGACUGUUCAUAUCAUAGGCAUAUGAACAGUGUAUUUUUUUUUUUUUUUUGUUGGAAACAGGUAAUUUAGUAUUUUUUUUAGAUAGGCUUUCUCUUGGCAAAUUUUUUUUGCCUUCCAUUUUUUACUUUUCUUCUACAUCCUGAAUCUUACAAAUCAAAAUAAUUAGAGCAUUUAUAUUUUGGGUAGAAUACAAUACUAGAUGUUUUGUUGUAUAAAAGAUACAUAAGUGGAAUAUGCAUAACGUGGAAACUACACCGCACCAAGAAUUUUGCUCCUGUUAUUUUUAAGAAACCACAAUAUUUUCAUUAACUCUAGAUAUAUAAUCAGUAUAAUAGUUUGGUAUAAUUUGUAUGUAUAACAUUCUAUGAAGUACAUAUCAGAAACAUUUAUAUCAAUCAAUUAACCCAUUGACCAGCUUCAUAACGUUGUUUUUGGAUAAAGUAAUUUUAAUGUCUAUAGAAAUUUUAAAGUCAUGAGAAUUACAAUGUCAUGAAUUUAAAUCCUAUUAAUUGAGAAUUCCAUUGUUUGAAUUUCAUGAUGUGUCCAUAGAAAUUUCAAAAUACAAUUCCAUGAAUUUAAAUCCUAUCAAUCGAGAAUUUCAUUGUUUGGAUUUCAUGAUGUAGAGUUUUAAAAUGACAAGAAUUUGUAUUCAGACUAAUCUUAGUUAAAGAAAUUGACAAAUGAUGCUUAUUUUGUGAGGAAUUCAAGUCGGGAAUUUAAGUUCCUAAAUUUCACGAUUAUUUUCCUGUGAAAAUUGCUAAUUCCAUAAGAUAAGUAUCCAAACGAGGAAAACCGUCCUAAGAAAUUGGGAAUUCCUUAUUUUUUAUUAAAUUCUCAGAAAUUCACCCACAUCCAAACACACCGUAAAUGUAUAUACCGCGCCAAGGCGCGGGUAUAAUUCUAGUAGAGUCAUUGAUGUGACACUCUUUGCUAUUAGGUGUGUGUUUGUAGACAUUGUAGGUGCAAUUACUCUUGUAUUUCAUGAGUUUCUCUUGUGUUGUUUUGUAUUAUGGGGUUCAGGCACAAUGUUUUCCUACCCCUCUUGUGUAUUAAUUUGUUUCAUUAAUCAAGGUGUGAUAACUGUCUUAUUAACCAAGACUGAUCCAUUGGCAAACCCAAAGACCAAUUCGUUGGCAAAAACCAAGUCUGAAUCUACUCAUAAAGUCUGAUUCGUCAGCAAAUCCCCACCAAACCAUUGUUGCAGCUUGUUGUAGCAAAUAUCAUUUAAUUUUCGUUGUUUAAGCACAUUAAGAGUAAUCUUAGGUUUGGUAAAAGAAUCCAGCCAGUUGCUUGGAGCAAAAGUCAGGAAAGCGCGAAGCAUCAAGUCAAGACGGUUACGUUGAACCCAGAAGCGUUGGCACGCUAGCACAAAAAAUCACGCCCGAACAAAGGGUGAUCAAAGGAAGAUGUGCUUGGCAAUUACCUUGACAAAUCUUGUGCAUAGAAGCUAACUCGAAAACUUUUGUAGCGCAUCGAUUUGCGACGAUACUGCUUUGAGAUAUUGACUUUGAGAACAUUAUGAUCAUUUAUCGUAAUCAAAAGGUUCUGAACUGUACAACAUACCAACAAAAUAAAACUCAUCUCACUCACCUUUAAACCAGAUACGCGAUCUGCUUCCAGGUUAAUAUUGGUAACCGGAUGAAAAUGAAAAUUAUAUUAAUUGAACUACCGAUUGCAUCAUCAUCCGAUGCCCGAUUCUUUGAUGUCUACGAGAGUUUGAAUAUUUAAAUCUCAAAAUUUAAUUCAAGUUCUGUUCACCAACAUGUGUGUUCUUUACGUAUUCACCUAUUGCAAUAGGUUUGUGAAGUAUCACAUGAUAUCAUGUUUGUUACAUUAUAUUCUCUAAGAUAAUAUAUGCGUUACGAAGUAACAAACUAUUCCGUCUAUCUUUUGAUUAAUAACUAAAUUAAAAAAACGGUUUCCUCUAAAUCUCUCAAUGCAUGAAAUUAUGUAAAAUAUUAAAUAAAAAAUCAAUAUACAAUUCCAACUAAAAUUUUCAGAAGCAAUUUUGUCCAAUGAUGUAAGUUUUUUUUUAUUAGAAAGUAUUUUGCAUAACAUAUAUACUAGUCGAAAAUGUGUUCUCCUCAUCUUUUUUUCAAUUGUUUCUUCUAAGAGAAAAGAAAACUGCUCUAAAGUGAUUUCUAUUGUUAUCUUUUUACUUUUUAUCCUCUAUCUAAACAUAUUUAUUUUUAUAAGCAAUUUAAUAAUUCAAGGGCAGUGAGUUUCAGGAAUUUUCUGAAACUCGCCUUCAUACCCGUGCAAUGCGUAGGUAAACGAUGCGCUUCAAAUUUACAUAGAAACAUGGACAAAUUGGAGAAUGGAGUAUGGAGUACAAUAGAAGAAGAAGAACAGAUGUCAGCGUUACAAACUAAAUUUUUUAUACCGUGAACUGAUCAAGAGGGACUACAAUAAAGAUGUGUUGUUAUUUCUGAUGUUCAUUCUUCUUGCUUCCAUCUAUCAUUCUAUGAUUUUAUCGAUCACCAAUUAUCCUUUCUCUUUUAUACAAACUAUGUGGGGGUGGUUAUGUAUCCACUACUCUCCAUAAUCCCACAUCUCUUUAAGUAAUUAUCUGAUACAUUCUUUUUUUGUAAUUUGUCUUUUAAUACAAUAACCCUCUUCUUUGUUUUACAAAAUAAACCUAAUAGGGAUAGUUUUGGCAGCUCACAUUUUAAUCCUGGUGGUUUUAUAGUAGUAAUAAAGAUAAAGAUUUAACCAUAGGGUGAUGUUACGCCUUUUUUUGCUAUUAACACACCUCAUUUAUUUUCUUAUCCACACAUUUCAAUUUUAUUUACAAAUUUAUCACUUGAAUUUGAUUGAAUUUGAUUCGUGAUUGACUCUCAUAACAGAUGGGGUGUAGUGUUAUCCGCUUUAACCAUGAGCAAAAAUCCAAAUUCGCUUAAUUAAUACUGAACACACACCUAUAAAUAAAAUUGGUUUUGGCCCUUUUGGCCUUCCGUAAUCAAAUUUGCUUUACUGGGCGGCAGUCAUGGACUCAUGGUGAACCUGCAGAACUACCGGUUAGACAAGCAACCGUGUUUCACUCAUCAGCACUUGGGCUCCAGAACAAUCCAAGUCCUCUUCAUGGUCCCUCUCAAGCUUUUGCAGUAGAAGUUUUUCAUACGAGUCAUGCCACUUGUUUUCUCAUUGGUUAAAGAUUUCGCCUUUCCGAAUGCAUAUUUUCUUUUACUGUUAUUAUUUUGUUUGAUUAUCUCUUCGAUGAUUAUGAUUUAGUAUUCCUCAUUCAGGAAGCCACAUUAGGGUUUAGAAUCAUCGAUCUAUUUUUUCAUAAUCUUGUUAAUAUAAUGUGCAUUUACUGUUGAUAUAUAUAUAUAUAUAUAUAUAUAUAUAUAUAUAUAUAUAUAUAUCCCACAUUGGGAAUUGAGACAUUGCUUGUGGGUUUAUAAGGGUUUAGGCCACUCUACCUAUUGCCAAUUGGUUUUGGAUGUGAAUCCCAGACUAUUUUAUCAUGGUAUCAGAGCGGGCUACCCACGUCCACAUGUGAAAUCCAAUGGCCACACGCACUCCACGUCACCCAAAAUGUUGUCCACGUGUUAGGCUUAAAAAUUCGCCACAUGUGCGGGGGCGUGUUGAGAUAUAUAUCUCACAUCAGGAAGGAAUUGAGACAUUGCUAGACUACUUUAUCAUUUACUAUACUAGAUAGAGACGAAAAGGAUUAGGAGAACAGGAGUAUAUAUACAUACAUACUGCAGAAAGGAACCUCUAAGUUGUUGGAGUCACAGUACUCCUUUAUUCAAUUGAAAUUCAGGGGUGAUAUUACAAUAUUACAUAUUCUAGAAUUGCAUAUCUUUAAUUUUGGAUACAUAAACUAUAUUUUAAUUUAUAGUAUAAGACGUUCUUGAUAAUCAAACUUUUAGCCAAUCCUUCUGAAUUAGAAGCUCCAGAAUCCUACUCAUUUGGAAUUAGAAGCUCCACAACCUUACUCAUGGCUGGCCUUGCAUUGCGGUCUUCAUGCACACAAAGUAGAGCAACUUUCAUCAAUCUUUCAAGCUUCUUGUUGUUGAAUUCGUGGUGUAGUCUAGGAUCAAUCACAUCCUCAAGCCCUUCUCUGAUGAUUUUUUCAAUCACACAUUGUACUACUUGGUUGUGUUCUUUGUUCUUUGGGAGGGGACUAGCCUGGGGCGUAAGUAGAAUAGAAGCACUCUUUCCAGUCAGUAGUUCUAACAAAACAAUCCCGUAGCUGUAGACAUCUACCUUUGCAUCAAUCUUCAGAUUCAUCAUCCACUCUGGAGCCAUGUAACCUCUGGUGCCGCGAGCUCUUGAAAACCCAGUGUCAUCAGGAAUGUCUUUGAACAACUUUGACAUGCCAAAGUCUGCCACUUUUGGUUCAAGUUGGUCAUCUAAAAGAAUGUUCUGAGGCUUUACAUCACAGUGGAGCACCCAUUCCAAGCACUCCUCGUGCAAAUAUGACAAACCCUUUGCAGUUCCUAAUGCAAUGUUGUAUCGCUGCUCCAAUCCUAAUUCCACAUCUGAGAACAAGAUUUUAUCCAAGGAUCCAUUCUCAUGGUACUCAUACACCAAUAGCUUAUGUUCAUUCUCAGCACAGAAACCCCAAAGCUUAACCAAGUUUCUGUGGUUGAUAUUCCCUAUAACACUAACCUCUGCCCAAAACUCUGCAUCUCCUUGCACGAUGCCUUCUAGUCUCUUCACAGCAACAACUCUUCCAUCGCCAAGAACCCCUUUAUAAACUGCUCCAAAACCGCCUUUUCCUAUCUCCUGUGUGAAAUCCUUGGUUGCUCUUUUCAGUUCUGCAUAGGUGAAACGUUUGAUUUCCAUGACUAAUUCCAUGUAACCAAUGCUCACAUAGUCCUCACCAGCAUGCUUUCGCAACACGCACCACCAUGUCAAGCCAAUGCAGAUGGCUUCAAAUAUUGCAAAAGAAGUUACAAAGCCAAUCAGGUACUUAAUAUACUGAUUGCUCUUUUUCACUCGAGGACCACUACUUUUAUAAGCAACUUCUGCCCUGGAACAGUUCAACUCAUAUGUCUCUGGCUGGAGUACUUGAGGACUCAGUGAAGCUUUCAAAAUCUUAAUAUGGAUGAUGCUGGGAGUACUUGGCACACGAAAUCCAUUAAGAAGAAAGUUCUUAGGGUAACACUGUCCAAAUCCGUCUAGUGCAAAUCCAAACCCUUUGCACCUUGUAUCAUUCAGGCAUGUAUUCCUGCAUUCUUCGAAAGAGAUUCCCAUAUGAUAGGUGUCCAAAUCAGAUCCGUAGUAAUCUGUGUAAGGAAGCUCCAUGAAGUCCAACUUUUUUGAGUCAUGAGACAAAUUGUAUGGAGGUGAGCAGCCUUUGGACCAGUCUGAAGGAUCAGUCAGGGAAAAACCAGGAGGGCAAGUACAAGUUGGUUCUGGUUUGUAAGUGCAAAUACCAUACUCACCACAUAAGCCAUGAACCCGGCAAUAAUCAAUUUCAGGCAACCAUGAGACUUUCCAAAGUCCAGUUGAUUCAUCUAGACUGUACAUUCUUAUGAGGCCAUCAUAAUCCAAGGUUAGACGGCGCUUUGGACCAACCCCAUAGUCAGAUGCUUUGAACUUUAAAUUGUCACUUGAUACAAAUUUUCCUCGUUCAUCCAAUACUGCUACUCUAGAGCUAUUGUAAGGUGAUCUGCCACUACCAAAAACAGACACAUCCAUCUUUGGCCAAUAAACACUUGACACUAGAGGGCUAUCGUGGGUGAGGUACAACACAUUAUUACCAUCAAAUUUGAAAUUAUAGUAACCAGACAAGUAUGUACCUCGACUUCUCAUGGACACCAAGGUUUUGCUCUUGUCAAAUUGCUGCGAUGGUAAAAGUGUGUCUGUGGGAGAAUCAAAACUCUGCCAGAUGAUCCUCUCUGCUUGGUUGAGCAGUACCAAAUUUCCGGUUUCAAGAAGUCGAAGGUGAAACUCCAUGCUUGCAUUAGAUAAAGUGUUAGUUGACCAUACUGUUGAACCAACUCCAUCAGUCAAGACCAGGUUGCCAUUUCUCUGGAGGCUUAAUUUUGACUGUCUUACACUGACAGGUGUGUCUCUGUUAGCCAUCCAGACAACUGUUUUGUGGACAGUGUUGGUGUACCAUACUGAAUAGCAAGAGGCAUUGGUGCUGAUGUUGUAAAAUCCACUAGAGAAAGUUCCUUUUGGUGAAACCAAGACACUCUCUUCCUCGACUUCCAAGGAGCUCCCUUGCCUUAAGCUUUGCAGCCCUAGUGACCGUGUUUGGAAAGAAGCAACUGUUGCGGCAAAAAGUAGAAGAAUGAGAAAUUUAGGAACUUCCAUGUUAUGUUUUCAAUAUUGCUUUUGGCCUUCAGAUGAGUCCAGUGCCUAUGUAGACUAUAAGCAGGUUUGUCUCUCUAUCCAUUUUCUUGGAAUUUUAUGCACAAGUUUCUCGAAAUAUGCCAAAAUUUCCAUGCAUUAUGUGUAUGAGAUUCAAUGACUCGUUCAUAAGUCUUCACUUCCAUUGUGUGGUAUGGGAUGAAGAUAAAGACCUGUGUCUAUUGACUCCAGUUCUAAAGACCUGGCCUUCAUGCAUUGACUUCUAGUCAACCCAAUUUGUUUUUUAAUUUGGUGAAAAUAAUUUUCUUAUUUGAUAUUUUACAAUCAGAUCGAUGUGAUAUUUCUAAUAGCAUCUAACUUUUUCAAAUGCAGCAGCAGUUCUUAGUUUAUACUUCUGAUGCAAGAAAAGACAUCUAUAACUGAAUUGGAAUAUAAUUACUUCAUGAGAUGGCUGAACAACCUGAUGCCCCAAGUUGGGGAAUCUGACCAUCAAGUAAUAUAAGUUUUACCCCAGACAAAGUGUCUAUCUUAUCUUUAACAUAAGACAACUACUAGUUUUAUUAGAAUGAGUCUUUUAUCUUCAGCUGAUUGCUGGAGUCGUAAAUAUUGAUACAUUAUUGUAGGAAGCUCAAAAAAGCUAAAACUAAAUACAACCAUAGCAUACAGUUAAUUAGGCAGUUUUCAUUAUAUGAUUUUCCAUUCUUCAUCAUUCUCUUCACUCAUCAUUCUCAAGUAGAAGCUCUACAACCUUGCUCAUGGCAGGUCUUGCGCUGCGGUCUUCUUGCACACACAGAAGAGCAACCUUCAUCAGUCUUUCGAGCUUGUUCCUGUUAAAAUUAUGAUGGAGUCUAGGAUCAAUCACUUCCUUAAGCCCUUCGACUCUGAUCUUUUCAGUCACACAUUGUACCAGUUGGUUGUGCUCAGUGUACUCUUGUGCAAAAGCUGUAAGCAGAAUAGAUGCACUCUUUCCACUCAGUAGCUCCAACAAAACAAUCCCAUAGCUGUAGACAUCUGCCUUUGAAUCAAUUUUCAGGUUCACCAUCCACUCUGGAGCCAUAUAACCUCUGGUACCUCGAACUCUCGAAAAUCCAUUGCCUGCAUCAUCAUUGUCAAGUUUGAAUAACUUUGACAUGCCAAAAUCUGCUACCUUAGGUUCAAGAUGCUCAUCUAACAGUAUGUUUUGAGGCUUUACAUGACACGACCCACCCCAAAUUUCACCCUGAAACCCGGAGUAAGUCGUGCGGGGACCACCUCCAAGGAAAAUUUACUGAAAAGAUUGAGAAAAUCUCCCUUGCAGAUGAACAACCCUAACUCGAAAAUUCCAAAUUUCACUCUUAAUUCAACACUUCCAAACAUCACAUAAUAUACAAUAAUCCUAAAGUAUUCAGAGCUACUAAACACAAACGGAAGCAAGAAAACACGAGUAGGUUGAACAGGUAACCUACUGAUGAAAACUGGCAGAAAUACGGGUGACUAUGCCUCGCCUCCUACUAGAUCCAACCCGAACUCUGCAGACUGGGCAAUUUAAAACGAAAGGCCCAGGGGAAAACAUUUAAUAACGUUAGAGUGAGUGGACAAAAAUAAAAUAAAGGAAAUAAUUCUUUAUGCUUUCCCAAUUUUNNNNNNNNNNNNNNNNNNNNNNNNNNNNNNNNNNNNNNNNNNNNNNNNNNNNNNNNNNNNNNNNNNNNNNNNNNNNNNNNNNNNNNNNNNNNNNNNNNNNNNNNNNNNNNNNNNNNNNNNNNNNNNNNNNNNNNNNNNNNNNNNNNNNNNNNNNNNNNNNNNNNNNNNNNNNNNNNNNNNNNNNNNNNNNNNNNNNNNNNNNNNNNNNNNNNNNNNNNNNAUGAUAUAUAUAUAUAUAUAUAUAUAUAUAUAUAUACUCACCAAAAUUCUCAAUUUCGGUUAUUCUCCAACAACAUAAAUUAUUUCGCAUGCACAUUAUUUAAGACAAAAGUCCACUCACAAAUUAGGCCUAAGCCUGUGUCGAUCUGGGGCCUCGUCAGCUCGAGCCUCCUCACGACCUAGCUCAAGAGGGAGUGAGUCCUUUUAGGGCAAGGUUGCUGGGUUGGAGGGCUACAAAACCAUACCAAGCUUGCCCGGAUUGGUGGCCGGAGGAGGGAGUUCCGGCGAAAAGCUUUCCGGCGUUUCCGGCGUUUCCGGCGGGUUUUCUCCUCUUCCGGCGGGUUAGAGGCUCGGGGGCUAGGCCGGGGAGGGAGAGGAGGAAAUGGGGGUCCGAACUGGGGUGGAGCGGCGGCCGGUGGCUGGCCGGACGGCGGCAGCUGGCGGCUGGACAGUCCGGCAGUGGGAGGAAGAAAAUUCGGGGGAGGGAAGGAGAAAACGGGAGAGAGGGAGAAGAGAAAAAAAGGGAGAUGGGUUUGGGCCUCUCCAAACCGGUCCAAUCCACUUAUAACCCAAUCUUCCAAAAUAAAAACACCCCGAAAAAAUAAUACCCGAAUAAAAAUUACCUUUUACUAGCUAAAAUUUACCAUUUUUACAGUCGUCGUAUUUUCCUCAUACGAAUAAUCCUCCGCACAUAAUCGUCCCCGAAACCCCUCUAGGGACCAAUUAAACUAUUUACUCAAUGAUCGAGACGGUAAAAUUCUUAAUAUAAUCACGCUAGUAAAUAAGGUAAAAAUAUAAGGGUCGGGAUGUGACAUUACAUCACAGUGGAGUACCCAUUCCAGACACUCCUCAUGUAGAUAUGACAAACCCUUUGCAGUGCCUAAUGCAAUAUUGUAUCUCUGCUCCAAAUCUAAUUCAACAUCUGAGAACAAGAGUUUAUCCAAGGAUCCAUUCUCCAUGUACUCAUACACCAAGAGCUUAUGAUCAUUAUCAGCACAGAAACCAUAUAGUUUAACCAAGUUCAUAUGAUUGAUAUUCCCUAUGACACUAACCUCUGCCCAAAACUCUGCAUCUCCUUGCACAAUGCCUUCUAGUCUCUUCACAGCUACAACUCUUUCACCAUCCAGAACCCCUUUAUAGACUGUUCCGAACCCUCCUUCUCCUAUCUCAUGUUUGAAGUUAUUGGUUGCUUUCUUCAGUUCUGCAUAGGUGAAACGUUUGAAUCCUACAGCAUUUAUGGCUAAUGCCAUAUACCCCAUGUUCACCAUUUCCUCAUGAGCUUGCUUACGGAAAACAAACCACCAUGUCAAGCUGAUGCAUAUUGCUUCAAUUACCCCAAAGGAACUCAAAAAUCCAACAAGGUAUUUCAUGUACUGGUUUCCAUUGCCCUUUUCUGUUUCAAGAUCAGUACUUACAUGAAACCGUACCGCUGAACAGUUCAAAUCAUGUGUCUCUAGUCUGGUUUGUACUGCACCAGGAUUCAGAAAACCUUUUGGAAUCUUAACAUGGAUGAUGCUCUUAACAUCCGAUAGACGAUAUCCAUUGAGCAGAAGACUCUUAGGGUAACACUCUCCUUUCCCGUCCAGUGCAUAUCCGAAUCCCAAGCAUUUUGAAUCCACCAGACAUGAAUUCCUGCAUGCUUCAAAAGAGAUUCCAAGAGUGUAGCUUACCAUGUCAUAUCCAUAGUAAUCUGUGUAAGGAAGCUCCAGGAAAUCCAGCUUGCUUGUAUCUUGAGUCAAAUUGAAGGGAGGUGAGCAGCCUUUGGACCAAUCUGAGGGAUCAUUUAGGAAAAACCCUGAAGGGCAGGUACAAGUAGGUUCUGGUUUGUAUGUGCAAAUACCAUAUUCACCGCACAAGCCUUGAACCCGGCAUGCAUCAACACCAUCAGGCAACCAUGAGAGUUCCCACAUCCCUGUCGGUUCACCAAGACUGUACAAUCUUAAGAUGCCAUCAUAAUCCAUAGUUAAACGCCUCUUUGGACCAACCCCAUAGUCAGAUGCUUUGAACUGCAUGUUGUCACUAGAUAUAAAUUGUCCGGCCACAUCCAAAAUUGCCACCCUGGAGCUGUUGUAAGGAUUUCUACCACUCUCAAAAACACUUGGAAUAAUCCGAGGCCAAUAAACACUAGAAAGUUGAGGGCCAUUGUAGAUGAGAAACAAGACACUGUUAUCAUCGAACUUGAAGUUAUAGAAUCCAGAUAAGUAUGUACCUUGGCUUCUCAUGGAUACCAAGGUCGUGUUCUUGGUGAGUGGCUGUGUUGGUAGAAGUGUGUCUGUGGGAGAAUCAAAACUCUGCCAGAUUACCCUCUUGGCUUGAUUCCUCAGCACCAAAUUUCCUGUAUCAAGAAGAACAACUUCUGUGUCUUCGUUAGAGAUUGUGUUGGUUGACCACACAAGUGAACCAAGUGCAUCUGUCAAAACCAGGUUGCCAUUUGCAUGGAGGGUGAGCUUAGAGCCUCUUUUGCUAACAGGCCUGUCUCGGUUAGCCAUCCAGACAACUGUUUUAUUGACACUUUUGGUGAACCAAAUUGAAUAACAGGAGGCAUUGGCACCAACUUUGUAAAAUCCACUGGUAAAUGUUCCAUCUGGUGAAACCAAGACGUUGUUCUCCUCCUCAGCUUUCAAGGAGUUCCCUCUCCUUAAGCUUGGCAUCCCUUGUAACUGUUCUUGACUCUGAGAAAAUGUUGCUGCAAAUAGCAAAAUGAGGAGAAAUGUGAGAACUUUCAUUGUGGAUAUUUGGAAAAUGCUUUAGCUUUGGGAAAUAAAUGAUGGACAAUGUAGGCUUAUAACGUAGCCUUCUUUCUGUGUGAAUUCAGACUAUAGUAUCUUCUAGUUGGUCCUAUAAGAUAGCCUUCUUGCUGUUUGAAUGAGAUUAUAAGACUACUCUCUUCUAUUUGGUCUUUUGUGCAGAAGUGCAGAACCUUUCUUCACGUAUGUAUAACUUGAGCUUUACCAGAUCAUAGGCAUUUUUUAUUUUGUUCCACGUAUCUAUAGUUGAAGACUUGAAGUUUCUUUAAUACUGCUCUUUCCAUGAAUUAUAACAAACUUAUGAGAUUCAAUAACUGAGUCAAGGAAUAUAAAAGAUGGAAGUCUUUUCCUUCCUUUGUUUAGACUUUGAGGACCUGUUUUUAAAGACCUGAGUUGUCUUUCUCAACUUUGUACCCCUGCAAUGGGGUGGGGUGGAAAUUUUAAUCUUAUGACUCGGAAACAAAACAUCUAGAUAUCUCAUUUAGUUAAAAAUACUAAACGAUAACGAAAAAAACUAAGGGAUGCACUAACUUUUCUGUAGGAGGAACAUUGGAUUCAUCUUCACAUUCUAGAAAUUUUUUUAUUACUGAAUCCAUUGUUGGUCAUUGAAGCUUAGCCCUUCAAUGUAAUUAGGUUAUCUAGAGAAAAAGAAAUACACAGAAACUUAAAAGUAACAAAAUUGUUUCAUUGGAUUUUUUUUUCUUCAGCUGAAAUGCUGGAACUAUAGUUACUGCUACACAUAGAUUUUAUCACACUGUAAAAACUUAUAGCUUUUAUUCUCUGUUCUUCACUUCUUCAUCAUGUACCUUUCACUCAAGUAGAAGCUCCACCACCUAACUCAUGGCAGGUCGUGCAUUUCGAUCUUCUUGUACGCUCAUAAGAGCAACCUUCAUCAAUCUUUCGAGCUUCUUUUUGUUGAUAUCAUGAUGAAGUCGAGGAUCUAUCACUUCCUUAAGCCCUUCUACUCUGAUCUUUUCAGUCACACAUUGUACUAGUUGGUUGUGUUCAAUGUACUCUUGUGCAAAAGCUGAAAGCAGAACAGAAGCACUCUUUCCACUCAGUAUCUCCAACAGAACAAUGCCAUAGCUGUAGACAUCUGCCUUUGCAUCAAUUUUCAGGUUCACCAUCCACUCUGGAGCCAUAUAACCUCUGGUGCCACGAACUUUCGAAAAUCCAACACCUUCAUCAUGAAUGUCUUUGAACAACUUAGACAUGCCAAAAUCUGCCACCUUAGGUUCAAGAUAGUCGUCUAACAGUAUAUUUUGAGGCUUUACAUCACAGUGGAGUACCCAUUUGCGGUGCCUAAUGCAAUCUUGUACCGCUUUUCCAAUCCAAGUUCAACAUCUGAGAACAAGAGUUUAUCAAAGGAUCCAUUUCUGUCUCCUUUAAUUGUUCCUCAACACCAAGUUUCCUGUUUCAAGAAGCUGAAGUUCCAUGACUUCCUUAGAGAAUGUGUUGGUUGACCACAUGACUGAACCUUGUGCAUCAGUCAAAACCAGGUUGCCAUUUCCAUGGAGGGUUAGCUUUGAGCCUCUUUUGUUGACAGGAUUAUCUCGGUUAGCCAUCCAGACAACUGUUUUAUUGACAGUAUUGGUGAACCAAACAGGAGGCAUUGGCGCCAACUUUGUAAAAUCCACUAGAAAAGGUUCCACUUGGUGAAACCAAGAAGUUGCUCUCUUCCUCAACUCUCAAGAAGUUCCGUUGCUUUAAGCUUGGCAACCCUUCUAACUGUGCUCGACUCCUAGCAAAGGUUACUGCAAAUAGCAAAAGAAGAAUAUACUCGGAAAUAUUCAUGGUGGAUUCUUUUGAAAAUGCUUUAGCCCUGGAGAUAUGGCAGUUGGCCAAUCUAGGCUUAUAAGGUAGAUUUCUUUGCAAUCUGGAUGAGAUUAUACAGAUGGCUUUCUUCAGGUAUCCAAAAGAAAUUGAGUUUUUCCAGAUCACAAUAGAAUUAAUGUUACAUACUUGCAUUAUUAAUUAUGAUAAACUGUUCUAUUAAUUUUCUUUCCAUUAAUUUAUGAGAUUCAAUGACUCGGUCAUGUUUGCCAUGUCUGUUUUAAACAUGCUUUCCAUAACGAAUGUACGUAGCAUCCAAAACAUUUGCAAAUUUAUAUCUUAUGAGUUAUGACUCAGAUACAAAGCAUCCAGAAAUAGCAUUCAGUAAUUUAUUUAUUUUCCAGAAGAAAACAAAUACAUAAUGGCAAAUCCAACAGGAUGCAGUUCAAGUAAAAUUUUACAGAUGCACUUGUAGGCUUGCAGGCAAAUCUAUUUAUUUUACAGAUGCACAUUACAUUCAUCUUCACAUUCUAGCAAAUCUUGUACUACUGAAUCCAUUGUUGGUCUUUUGUUCCUAUCUUCUUCCAGACAAGAAAUACCAAUCUUAACCAUCUUUUCUGCUUGUUUCCUGCUGAACUGCCCUUUUAAUCUUGGAUCCAACAUAUCCUCUAUCCAUGAAUUUUCUCCAGAUUGAAUCUUCCUUUUCACUAUCCUCACACACCUAGUAAGCUCUGCCUCUUGCUCCUCGGUAUCCUCCACUGCCCAAUUUGAAAGUCGAAUACCCUUCACCAGUUCUAGAAUCACCACCCCAUAACUGUAAACAUCCACUUUGGCAGUGAUCGGAAGGUUCAGUGCCCACUCCGGGGCCAUAUACCCUUUUGUUCCUCUAAUUCGAGAGAACAUUGAGCUCUGGCUUCCUCUCUGAGUCAACUUUGCUAGCCCAAAAUCUGCAAUCUUUGCCUCAUAGUUACUGUCCAAAAGUAUAUUUUCAGGCUUCACAUCACAAUGGAUAACCCAUUCUAGACACUCAUGGUGAAGAUAUGCCAAACCCUUUGCUACCCCUAUUGCAACUUUAAACCUUUCUUGCCAUCCAAGAAAUUUUGGGGGGAACAAAUGCUUGUCUAGUGAUCCAUUUUCAAUAAACUCUGACACCAGGAGUCUGUGUUUAUCUUCUGAACAGAAUCCCCAUAUUCUCACUAGGUUCAUGUGAUUGAUUUUACCAAUUGUGCUUACUUCUGCCCAGAACACAUCUUCAGCUUGAUAAAUGUCUGCCAAUUUCUUCACAGCAACCACUCUUUCAUCUUCCAAAACACCCUUAAACACAGCCCCAGAAGCCCCUCUUCCCAGCUCUUCCUUGAACUUUUGGUCGCCUUCUUGAGCUCAGCAUACCGAAACAUUCUAAACUGACUCGAAAUCACAUGAUACCCAUCUUCGAUAGGAGCUCUAGCACCUUGUCUUCUGAAAAGUAACCACCAACCUGAAAGUAUGAAGAGAAUUUCAACUGCACCAGCUGCAGUAGCAAACCAAUACAGAUAUAUCCAUCUUACCCUUUUAUUAGUAUUCACAUACAUCGAAGCAGAAACCAUUUUCCGGGCCUCAGCACUCUUAGAUGUAUCCAAGGCAUUGAGCUUUUUGACUAGUGAUGGUACUUCCACACUUGCAGGCAUUCUCAAGUAUAUAUUGCCCUCAAAAUCUGGAGACUUGAAGCCAUUGAAGAGAGCACUUUUUAUGUAACACCUCCCAUCCCCAUUUAGCCUAUAGCUAAAUGCCUCACACCGGCAAUCCCCCAAACAGAGCUCUCUGCAAUCAUCAAAUGAAACAGGUUUACUAUAAUUGAGAUCAAAUCCAUAAAAAUCUACUUGCGGAAUCCGCACAAAUUUCUCUUCUUGGGACUUCGAGCAUGUACGCUUGAACUUAGGCUUGCAGCCCAGCCUCAAGUUUCUUGCAUCGGCUACUUCAUAGCCAGGAGGGCAUGAACACUUUGGCCCUGGUGUAUAAAUACAAAUCCCAUUUUGCCCACAUAUCCCAUGAACCUUACAGAGUUCCACCAUAGCUUGCCAUGUGAUUUUCCACAAACCUGUUGAACUAUCAAGACUGUAAAGUCUUAGAUUUCCAUCAUAAUCCAUCGUCAACCGCCUUUUCACUCUCAAACCCAUGUCAAAAGCACUAAAUUGCAAUUCAUCACUAGACGAAAAACUACCAAGUUCAUCUAACACAGCAACUCUACUACUAUUGUAAGCAGUUCUACCAUUCUGAAACACACUAUAAUCAAUGUCAGGCCAAUACACGCUUGAAAUAUCAGGACCAUCGUACAUCAACCUCAGAACAUUAUCAUUACCAAAAUAGAAACUAAAAUAGCUCGUACUAAAAUCCUCUCUUCCCAAAUUAGAAAUCAACUUAUUGCUCUUUCUAAAGUGUUGAUUUGGGAGCAAAGUAUCAGUAGGAAAAUCAAAGCUUUGCCACAGAAUUUUACCACUAGGGUCCUUCAGAACAAGGUUGCCAGAAUCCAAAAGCUCAGCUCUAUCUGCAACAGUACUAGUACUCGAGUUGGUGCUGCUCUUCCAGAUGAUGGUUCCAUCUACAUCAGUCAAGACCAUCGAGCCAUCUCCACUCAGAUGGACUCUAGACCCCAAGCCAUUGACUGGCUUGUCCCUGUUGGCCAUCCAAGCAAUGGUUCUGUCUUUCGAGCCUGUGAACCAAACUGAGAACCAGUAAGCAUUUGUGCCAACACCAUGAAAUCCACACGUGAAGAAUCCGUCUGGUGAGGUUAGGAAAUCUGAAUCAUCCUCCACCGAAAGAGAGGAGCCUCUCUUGAGACUAGUUAGGGUUUUUGAGGUUGCAAAACAUAGGAGACAUAGAAUGGUGACUGAAAAAGCUUUGGACCUCAUUUCUGCUGAAGAGGUUUUACGUCUCUCUAACUACUGACUGUGCUUAUAUACUAGAAGGAGGAGGAGAAAAGUCAUCAAUGCUUAGUAAUCCUGUUGUUUUCAUACAAGAAAAAAUGGUUAGUAAUCCUGUUGUUUUCAUACAAGAAAAACUUGUAGAGGGUCUCACGUGUUAUUGUAAUCCAUGCAUGCAUAAAUUAGAUUCUUUUGAUGAGGUACUUAAUGUGUAGCACGCCUUAGGUUGAAGCAGAAGGCUUCCAAAGUUUGUACUUGAUCCGAAGUGAUUAAGAUUCUCAAAGAUCUUCCAUUCUUGUCAGGCCCGCUCACUUGCGGGAUAAGUUUUACCGGUGAAAAUUAUACAGUGCACCCGGGUGCGCCGCGCACCCGGGUGUAUCCACCGUACAUUUUGACCCGCCAAAAAAAAAAAAAAAAAUUAAACGGUGGAGAUGACGGGUGCGCCGCGCACCCGGAUGCGCCGAAUAGGCUCUCGUUUUACGGGAUAGAACAGGAUGAACUUUUUGCAGCCGUCAGAUCUUAAGUGAAACGAUUUGAUGGACAUAAGUGCAUAUACCAAUAAAAUCCGGAUUACUUUACCCGACAGUAGAUCACUUCACUCUCUCCCUCUCUCUCAAAGAUUCAGGCUUAGUUUCUGGGUUUCGNNNNNNNNNNNNNNNNNNNNNNNNNNNNNNNNNNNNNNNNNNNNNNNNNNNNNNNNNNNNNNNNNNNNNNNNNNNNNNNNNNNNNNNNNNNNNNNNNNNNNNNNNNNNNNNNNNNNNNNNNNNNNNNNNNNNNNNNNNNNNNNNNNNNNNNNNNNNNNNNNNNNNNNNNNNNNNNNNNNNNNNNNNNNNNNNNNNNNNNNNNNNNNNNNNNNNNNNNNNNNNNNNNNNNNNNNNNNNNNNNNNNNNNNNCCAAAUAGAGAAACCCCACCUCCGAGGCUCCGAAUACUCGACCAUAAUCAAUUCUCGAAAAUGGAGGACACCCACCUGUAGAUCCCAAUCUCAGAUCAACCCAUCUUCAUUGUGUGGAGUCUUUGUGAGAGAGAGACAGACGAGAUUAGCUGCAGGUUAAAGAAAAUCUCUCAAGUUAUUGCCUCUUGGAACUCAUCAACUCUUCUGGCCAAUCAAAGUAUAUAAGGUUGCAAUUGCAUCAAGGUCUUCCCCUCCGAACUGAGAGAGAGAGGUUCUAGGGAGGAAGAAGAUGCGAGAGAUUCAGACUCAGAGUUUUUGGUCGUAGAGACAAAAUCGGGACAUGGGUCUACGUAUUGUGUUUUAAUGUAUGUGCACUUGUGUCCAUCAGAUGGUUUCAUUUAAGAUCUGACGGCUGAAAAGAGUUCAUCCCGUUCUAUCCCGUAAAACUUAUCCCGCAUGUGAGCGGGCCUGCCAUUCUUGUUAUAUAUUAAAAAGGUUUCAAGCGUUCCGAGGUGAAAUGUGAUCAGAUCACAUAAUGAUCUUAGCAGAGUUUAAUGUUAUGUGCUAUAUUUCACCAGAUAGAUGCUGUGAUUGUUCUUUCAUUUUCUACAGUCUGGCCUUUCGAUUCAAGUGCCGUUCUUAUUUUUCUAGAUGGGUUACCAAUCUAGUAAAAAAAAAAAAAAUCAAUCAAAUUUAAGAUCGUAUCAUAUUAUCAAAUAACUUAAAAACAAAUUGUUGAUUAAUGAUACGACUGUUCUUUCAAACUUAAUUAGAGGAUAUCAAACUUGCGAUAUAAUGUUAGGUAAUAGUCGAGCGGUUGCUUAGAAGACCAAUAUACCUUAGUUUUGAAAAGCAUGUUAAUUGGCAAGGAAGAAAAUGACAUAACAUAACGAUACUAGGGAGGAAUUUUUGUGGUUUUGUCUAAGAAAGAAAAUUUCGGUGAUUAUGGAAAUUUCGACCGUCCAAAAUAUGGAAAUUUCGAUAAAAAUUUUGGGGAAAUAUCGAUUAGACAUGGGUUUAUAUUGACUACCUAGUCAAGAAAUUGACUGGUAACGACUGGUGCACCCAAAAAUUAGAGGAAUUGUCCAAUAAAGUCCAGAUACCAUUCCAUUUUCACAUUUCUGAUCUUGUUUUCUUCGGGUCUUUUGUCUUUGGAGUGAGAAAGACGUAAUCUAGAGGAAAAGGAACAGCAAUUUCAAUGUGGUGAAAAUGGAAAGAAUCACAAGCUUUACAUGAAAAUGAGACCUCUUAUGUCAUGUUAUACAUUUACAAUACGAAUCAAACAAUGCUGAGGGCCUUUCUGGUAUACUCUUUCAUGAGCAGGAAGAGUCACUCUCAUCAAGGCAAACCUUUCUGGUAUGCCAAAUCACAUGAUGUCGUGUUUCAAAUGUCCCAAAAGCAAUCAAAUUGACAAACAUGAAAGAAAUUUCUUGUGGGGGACUGAUAUGAAACAAGCCCCGGUAGCAUGGAAGGAAGUUUGCAAACCAAAGAUGUUAGGAGGGCUAGGAAUAAGGCCUUCUGUUUUUUCAAUAAUGCUGCAAUUGCAAAAUUAGCUUGGAAAAUUAUCACUGAUAAAGACAAUUGGUGGGUGCAGGUAACUACAAGGAAGUACUUGAGGAAAAAUUCUUUUUUCCAAGCAAAGAAGAAACAGAAAAAUUCUUUAGCUUGGAAUGGAAUUUUGGAUACAAGAGAUCUAAUCAUGAAAGGUAUGAGAUGGAUUUUGGGAAAUGGUGAGUCCAUAAAAUUCUGGACUUUCAAUUGGGUUUUUGACUUUCCCUUAAUUAACUUGAUUCCUGAGCAUAUGAGGAAUAAUAUUAAUAUUGAGGAAAAUAUCAGUGAUUAUAUUAAUCUAGGUAGCUGGGACAAACAGAAUAGCUGAGGUCCCAACUCAAUGAUGAAAUAGUGAAGGAAAUCUUGGGAAUCCCCAUACCACUUAAUCCUUUUGACGAUGAGUUUAUUUGGGGACCUGCUUCUCAUGGGAGGUUCACAAUUAAAUCUGCUACUUGGCUUCAACUGCAUGACAAUUAGAAGUAUAAGCGACUUGAGCUCAUUAAGAAGCUUUGGUCCUUGAAUGUUCAACCAAAGAUUAAAUUCUUUGGAUGGCUUGUACUUAUAGGCAGACUUAAGACCAGAGAUAGACUCUCUCGGUUUGGACUAAUCCAAGAUAAUACUUGCCCUCUUUGUAAUGAAGAUAAUGAAACUCUUGAUCAUUUGUUUAGUGUGUGCAGGUACACUAAGAAAGUUUGGAACUCGGCUAAUAUGUUGCCCCCAAUUGAUUGGGAUGAAGGAUUCUUCAAUGUGCUCAAUAGUUGGUUCAUUGAUAGUCCUUUUGAUAAAGAAUUAUUUGGAAAAAUUACUUUGUAUUGGCAGAUAUGGAGAGCAAGGAAUGACACUAUCUUUAGGGGUAAAAACCCCAGUCCUAGAUCCAUACCUGCCAUUACUGCCUAUGAUCAAAAUGUUGGCCCUGAUUCUGAUACACAGACGGUUGCUAUGCCAAGUAAUAUGAGCACAAAUAUGAUUAGGUGGACACCACCCCUUUCUAAUUGGGUUAAAAUAAACUUUGAUGGUUCUGUCCAGAACAAGGCUGCAGCUGGAGGUUUUGUUUUAAGAUCUGAUGAUGGAAAACCUCUUGUUUCUGCUGCCUUCAACUCUGGUACUGCCAGUGUUCCUCUUGCUGAAGCGCUGGAGUUUAGAAACAGCUUACUUUGCGCUAAGGAGAAAGGUGUGUUGAAGGUCGAAGUGGAGGGCGAUUCAAAACUCAUUAUUGACAUUAUGAAUGGAGUUUGUGAUCCCCCUUGGAGGCUUUUGAAAGUUGUUAAAGACAUCAAAUUGCUAAGUUGUAACUUUAAGUCCAUUAGGCUCAAGCAUGUUUUUAGGGAGGCCAAUUUUGUGGCCAAUGCUUUGGCAAAUCUAGGGCAUAGAGUUGAGAUUAGUAGAUUUUGGGUGGAGUGUGUUUCCCUAGGAGCCUCACUUGCUCUUGUGUUUGAUUCUGUAAACUCUGGGUGUCAUCGAGGAACCUCUAUUUAAUUUAAGUUUUUUUUUUAUACAAAAAAAAAAACAAAAUGCUGAGGGCCAGCCCUAAGCCUCGAGUCUCAGAUUUUAAAACUCAUAGAAAAUAGAGAUAAUGCCCAUUAGCCCUAAUUUUAAAAAAUUCUCACUAACAAAAUCAGAUUUUAAAAUUCUCAAAAGCCAACUUAAACAGCAGAAAGACAAAUAUACCCUUAAUAAAUUAAAUAAACUAUAAUAGACAAUUAUAAGACCAGAAAGACAAUUAUACCCUUAAUGAAUUAAAUAAAUUACAAUAGACCAUGAUAAGAGUCUAUUAUAAAAUAAAGUUUUUAUAACCGAAUUCCCACGACCAAUGACAUUGACCGAACUCCGGCAACCUUUGACCGGGCUCCGGGGACAGUUGACCGUGCUUCGGGGACGGUUGACCGGGCACCAGGGGCCGUUGAUCAAGCUCCGGAGACCGUUAUGCUUUAGUCACUUAUAACAGGUCCCUAUUGGGGGCAAUAUGCCCAUCUAUUGGGGGCAGUAGGACCUCCUACUGGAGGCAGUAGGACUUUGAGGACAGUUGACCGAACUCCGGAGACAGUUGUGCUUUAGUCACUUAUAACAGGUCCCUAUUGGGGGCAAUAUGCCUAUUUAUUAGGGUCAGUAGGACCUCCUAUUGGGGCAGUAUGACCACCUACUGGGGACAUGACAGUUGGAUAUCCUACUGGGGGCAGUAGGACCUCCUAUUGAGGGCAGUACGACUCUUGAACUUAAGAUAUAAGAUAUAUAUGUAUUAAUAAAAGUUUUGAAAUGGAAGAAGUGGAGUCUAUAAUAUUCUAUAAGAUGUAAGACUGAGAAGAUAACUUCUACCUAAAUCUACACCAAAAGAAUGAAAACAAGUGACUCUUGACACCCUAAUUGAAGGACAAUAUGACAUACACAAAGAGCAUAAUAUUCCUCCACUAGAAUGUCCUACUGCCCCUAGUAGGAUGUAUGACCACCUACUAGGGGCAGUAUGACAUCCUACUGGAGGCAGUAUGACCACCUACUGGGGUCAGUAGGGGCAGUAUGACCUCCUACUAGGGUCAGUAAGAGGUUCGUCGAGGGGUCUAAUGGGAGAAGUAUGGGAUUCGUCGGGGGGUCUAUUGGGGGCAAUAGGGGGUUCGUUGGGAGGUCUAUUGGGGGCAGUAGGGGUCUAUUGAGAGCAGUAAGGGGUUCGUAGGGGUAUAUUGGGGGUAGUAGGAGGUUCGUUGGGGGUCUAUUAGGGGCAGUAGGAGGUCUAUUGGGGGCAAUAAGGGAAUGUGUCGGGUGGUCUAUUGGGGGCAAUAAGGGGUCUAUCAAGGGCAGUAAACAUCUAUUCCCCUCAAUAGAUCUCAUCCCAACAUGAAAAUUACAUUACAAAAAUACAAAAGACCUACUUU